rnacentral:snRNA from 1 species
GCGCUUGCUUUGGCAGCACAUAUGCUAAAAUUGGAAAGAUACAGAGAAGAUUAGCAUGACCCCUGUGCAAGGAUGACAUGCAAAUUUUUGAAGUGUUCCACUUUUUA